AUUGAACGCUGGCGGCAGGCCUAACACAUGCAAGUCGAGCGGCAGCGGGUCCUUCGGGAUGCCGGCGAGCGGCGGACGGGUGAGUAAUGCCUAGGAAUCUGCCUGGUAGUGGGGGAUAACGUUCGGAAACGGACGCUAAUACCGCAUACGUCCUACGGGAGAAAGUGGGGGAUCUUCGGACCUCACGCUAUCAGAUGAGCCUAGGUCGGAUUAGCUAGUUGGUGGGGUAAAGGCUCACCAAGGCGAAGAUCCGUAACUGGUCUGAGAGGAUGAUCGGUCACACUGGAACUGGGACACGGUCCAGACUCCUACGGGAGGCAGCAUUGGGGAAUAUUGGACAAUGGGCGAAAGCCUGAUCCAGCCAUGCCGCGUGUGUGAAGAAGGUCUUCGGAUUGUAAAGCACUUUAAGUUGGGAGGAAGGGCAGUCAGUUAAUACCUGGUUGUUUUGACGUUACCAACAGAAUAAGCACCGGCUAACUUCGUGCCAGCAGCCGCCGUAACAC
rnacentral:rRNA from 1 species